UACAGAGGUCUCAAGCGUUGUUCGGAUUCAUUGGGCGUAAAGGGUGCGUAGGUGGCGCUGUAAGUCGGGUGUGAAAUUUCGGAGCUUAACUCCGAAACUGCAUUCGAUACUGCGGUGCUUGAGGACUGGAGAGGAGACUGGAAUUCAUGGUGUAGCAGUGAAAUGCGUAGAUAUCGAGAGGAACACCUGCGGCGAAGGCGGGUUGCUGGGCUGAUGACUGACGCUGAUGCGCGAAAGCCCAGGGGAGCGAACGGG
rnacentral:rRNA from 1 species